UAGACAAGAACAACAGAUGGAGAGGAGAAGAGAGCAGGGAUUUUGCCCAAAAGCCGAACAGGAAUAGUUGGGGCCAAUUAGCAGUGAAAACGGCACCCCAAACGCACUCUCUAUCUUUCUCAUCUUCUGCCAAAUAACUUCUUUCUUCUGCCCUUCCUUCCCCCUAAAAUCCCUAGCCUCUCUGCAUCCCUCCCCGACCAUCUUCUGAUUUUGCCCAGAAUAAACCGUCAUGUUGGUGACCAAACCCCCACGAUACUGUCACGUUUAGAGCUAGCUGUGCAAGUACGAAACGACGGGAUCGAUCGUCGCUAACUGUGGGAAGGCAACGACUAGAUUGCAUUGGAACCCUCCUUUUGCUCCUUCAACUCUGCUCCUACCCGAAAGCUAGGAAAAAUGUGUCGAGCUUCUUCAAUCCAACUGUUUAAAUGAGUCCUAUUACAGAUGACCACAACUGGUGCUGAUGAUGAGCCACCUUAGCAAAGGAGUAUGAGCAGCACUGAGAGAGGCAGUUGUCCUCCCAGACUUCAAGCACUACAAGCAGUUAUGGUAGUCAGUCUACCAAUACACAGUCUCAACUUGAGCUAUGGAUGCAGACGACGGGAAAGAAGUAGGUCAAGAUCUCUCGUGCUUCUGUGGUUGGUACGAGCUCAUCAAACUCGAAUACUGUGGAGCUUGUUAAGCAGGUCGCUGUUAUGACUAAGGAGGUUCACAAUCUACGUGAAAGCCAACAUAGAAUUGAGUAGAGCAUAGCACGCCUUACGAAGAUUAUAUAAGAUUGUUGGGGCUAGAGAACGAUUACUGUUGUAGUUGAGGUGGAGGAUAAGGAAGAGGAUGAGUAGGAAGAUUAGGAGUUUUUAUGUAUUUUUAAUUUAUGAAAUGUUUGUUUGAACUU